UAUAAAACAAUUUUAUUCAUAAAUCAAUAUCAAAUUUCUGAACGAAUGAUAUUCAUUUCAGUUAUUAAUAAUUUACGAUCAUUAUUUUUCAUAAAAAUUAAUUUAACAUUUAACCUCUUUUAUAAGAAAUACAAUUCCAAGUCAUCUCAUUACGUUUAUAUAUUUUUAUAUGAUAUCUCGAAAUAUUAUAUUAUAAAAAAAUCUUCAUGUUUGUCAAAUGCAAAAAAUAAUUUUAUCUUUACAGAAUGAUAUGAUAGAUAUGAUAGAUAAGAUAGAUAUGAUAAUUAUUACGAAUACAGUUGAAGUGCAGUCGAACUAGUCGAAGAUUUUCAGUGGCAAGGUAAUAACUAAAAGUCGAGCGUGACACUAAAAAAAAUGGGGAAUCGAAUCGAGAACGAUUGCAGCUAUUUUGAUUAUUUUUAUACCGUGUACAUAAUAAAGAUGAUUAAUUAAUCAGCCGUGACGAAGCUUGGAAGCUUUUUCAUAUGGCUCAUAGGUUGAGAAUCUUAGUCGUGAUAAUUGUGUUUGACCAAAUGUUAUUAUUAUCAUUAAUUAUUAUUAUUAUGUAUGUUGUAAGUAGAAAAUAUUGUGCGUUGAUUUUUUUUAUAAUUUAAGAUCAAUAAAGAAUAAAUUUGAAUAUAAUUCUAAAAUUUAGUAAUGUCUGCGAUGAUGAGUUAUUGGCAAGACUAUUGGUAUGAGUGAAAACGAGAGAGACAUUAUCAUAAUUGUAUAAAUGAUCUGAUAAUUUGAUAAAAAAAAAAAGUAUUAUAUAUAGAUGAGCGUUAAGUAGAUUGCAAUCUAAUUGAUAUUGUUUAUGAUCGAUAAA